GUGCAAAGAGUUAGAGGACAUAGGCUUCAGUUCUAAUAGGUUGGAAGGGAUUCUACCAAAAGAAAUAGGAAACUUGACAAUGCUUAAGACUCUAUAUCUCGACAUCAACCUGUUUGAAGGUGAGAUCCCAUCAGGUAUGUUUGAUCAUCUAUCUAGAUUGCAAGUGCUUUUCUUGGGUGAGAACAAGCUCUCUGGAAAAAUUCCAUUGAGUUUAUUUAAGUGCAAAGAAUUAGAAGAUAUAUCCUUGGCUCAUAAUAGGUUAGAAGGGAUUCUACCAAAUGAAAUAGGAAACUUGACAAUGCUUAAGAGUCUAUAUCUGGACAACAACCUAUUCGAAGGUAAACGGAAAAUAGUUAGAUGUUAUUUUAAUUUAUUGUCUUUCUCCAACUGCAGUAUGUGCUUUGUUUGGUAAGAAAGCUUCAAUUUUUUUUUUUUUUACCAAGUAAAAUUUUAAAGUUGUUUUUAAUUUUCAUACUUUUCAUCAUGCUAAAUUCUUGAUUUUAAUCAUAUGAUUAAUUCUAAUAA